rnacentral:rRNA from 1 species
CCUACGGGAGGCAGCAGUAAGGAGUCUUCCACAAUGGACGAAAGUCUGAUGGAGCAACGCCGCGUGCAGGAUGAAGGCUUUCGGGUCGUAAACUGCUUUUAUAUGGGAAGAUUAUGACGGUACCAUAUGAAUAAGGACCGGCUAACUACGUGCCAGCAGCCGCGGUAAUACGUAGGGUCCAAGCGAUAUCCGGAAUUACUGGGCGUAAAGCGUGUGUAGGUGGAUUAAUAAGUGUGAUGCGAAAUCCGGCGGCUCAACCGUUUGGACUGUGUCGCAUACUGUUAGUCUAGAGGACGGCAGAGGUAAGUGGAAUUACGGGUGUAGCAGUGAAAUGCGUAGAUAUCCGUAGGAACACCAAUGGCGAAGGCAGCUUACUGGGCCACACCUGACACUGAGACACGAAGGCGUGGGGAGCGAACAGGAUUAGAUACCCUGGUAGUCCACGCCGUAAACGAUGCAUACUAUUAGUAUGGGGUAUCGACCCCCUGUGCUGAGAAGCUAACGCGAUAAGUAUGCCGCCUGGGGAGUACGAGCGCAAGCUUAAAACUUAAAGGAAUUGACGG